rnacentral:lncRNA from 1 species
UUUUUGUUUAUUUUGUGUGAUUUAUUUAAUAUUUAUUUACAUUUGCUUUUCAUUAGAAAUCGUGCUCCUUAUCGCACACAUGAAUCGCACUCGUAUUCGUACUCGUAAAUAUUUUAUAGUCGAUUCUGUUUACAACUCGCGCCCAUAGCCCAUGUCCACGCGCCGCUCAAGUGAUUCGCCGCUUGUGGAAACGAAACGAAACGAAACGAGUUCGAGUUCGAGUGCGAAUCAAAUUGAAUCCGCUGACACUGCGAAUUCAGUGCGUGUUGCAGCGAGUUGAAAGGUCACAGGACACAGGACACAGGACACACACGCAUCCCAUGACCCACACAAAGCGAGAGUGCAACGGCCCCCGAGCGGGCGGUGGGCGUGUUCAAGGCCGCGUCUCGCCUCGACCAGACAGAGUCCAGACAGGUCUACCCCCCGGCCAGGCCCAGUUCAGCCCCAGUUCAGCCCCAGUCCAGGGCCCGAAUUCCAGCCCGAGCCGCGGCGCAGACUGAGACUGAGCGGAGCCAUUGGCCGCUCUCGGCACUCGGUAGAGAUUAGAGAUGUGCACAUGGCGGCGGCUCCGUUCCGUUUU